ACGAGGAUGUGUGGUCGCUCGCCAGGAGCUGAUGACAGUUCUUUGGCGGGAGGUAAAGUCCGGGCUCCUUCGGAAAUGAUGCCGGGUAAUAACCGGGCGGAAAAAGAAAGUUGUCUAAGUAAAGGUUACCUUUGAAUUGACAUAACUCUUUUGGCCGACAGAAAGUGCUGCAGAAAAUAACCGCCUGAUUUACAGGUAAGGGUGAAAAGGCAGGGUAAGAGCCUACCGCAUUUACGGCAACGCAAAUGGCAUAAGCAAACCUCAUCAGGAGCAAAAUCAUGCAGCGGUUUGGUAUUCCGACCUUAUACCGCGGGUAGAUUGCUGGAGGCAACGGGCGACUGUUGUCGUGGAUAGAUGACCAUGCGGGUUUAUCCCGUGCCAGAACCCGGCUUACUGCAUCCUUUUUAUA
rnacentral:RNase_P_RNA from 1 species